rnacentral:rRNA from 1 species
UGUAUUUAUUAGAUAAAAAACCAAUGCCCUUCGGGGCUUUUUGGUGAUUCAUGAUAACUUUACGGAUCGCAUAGCCUUGCGCUGGCGACGGUUCAUUCAAAUUUCUGCCCUAUCAACUUUCGAUGGUAAGGUAUUGGCUUACCAUGGUUUCAACGGGUAACGGGGAAUUAGGGUUCGAUUCCGGAGAGGGAGCCUGAGAAACGGCUACCACAUCCAAGGAAGGCAGCAGGCGCGCAAAUUACCCAAUCCCGACACGGGGAGGUAGUGACAAUAAAUACUGAUACAGGGCUCUUUUGGGUCUUGUAAUUGGAAUGAGUACAAUUUAAACCUCUUAACGAGGAACAAUUGGAGGGCAAGUCUGGUGCCAGCAGCCGCGGUAAUUCCAGCUCCAAUAGCGUGUAUUAAAGUUGUUGCAGUUAAAAAGCUCGUAGUUGAAACUUGGGCCUGGCUGGCGGGUCCGCCUCACCGCGUGCACUCGUCCGGCCGGGCCUUCCUUCUGAAGAACCUCAUGCCCUUCACUGGGCGUGCUGGGGAACCAGG